CGGGCCAAGUAAAACGUUGUGCAAAUCUGUAGACUGGUAAAUGAUACGGGGAGCCCAUUCAGGGUCAUGCCUCUUCAAUAAGGCCUCAACCUUGACAAAAAUUUCCUUNNNNNNNNNNUCCCUGAGAGUAGCAUCAGAAAUUUUUGAGUAAGCCUUCAAAUGUCGGGCUUGCUUGGCUGAGUCGAAUUGAAGAUUCCACGACUCGAACAGGUCACGAUCAUAAACCAAAGGAUUAGCCCCUACGGGCUGAAUCCGGUUCAACAGAUUUGUAUUGGCAUCCAGUAUGUCGCUAGGACAACGUGCGUCAGAAUGAAAAUUGCAGCGCUUGUCAAACGCAGCCAGCAGAUUGGCUCGAGAGCCAUCAGGAACUACUGGGAUAUGUUGCCGAAUGACAGGCCCUAACAA
rnacentral:misc_RNA from 1 species